GGUAGAAUGUCCCCAGUGCAUUGUGUGAGCCACCUCCCUUCCAGUACAUCCCCAUCACAUAUUCCCCUGCGUCCCUUGGACUAGGGUGUUCUAUAUUCAAGGUAAGUUUAAUGGGAGUUGACCCUGUGGGUUUACUAAGAGUCAUUCUAGAAAGUAGGGGCUUCCCGUCUUUGUCAAGUCUGUCUAGUGCAACCUGAGGUCUGUAGCCCCAUGGUCUACCUGUAUUCCACC